CUGUUGUAUGGUUGUAGUUCUUAUUUUGACCAGAAUAAUGUAUAAUUUGAAAUAAACUCAUCAUAGAUACCUGGACUAAAAUUAGUAUAUACGCCAGACGUGUGUUUCGUCUACAAAAGACUCAUCAGUGACGCUCGAAUCCAAAAAAGUUAAAAAGGCCAAAUAAAGUACGAAGUUGAAGAGCAUUGAGAACCAAAAUUCCUAAAGUUUU
rnacentral:lncRNA from 1 species